rnacentral:rRNA from 1 species
GAAUAUUGCGCAAUGGGCGAAAGCCUGACGCAGCGACGCCGCGUGGGGGAUGAAGGUCUUCGGAUUGUAAACCCCUUUCGGGAGGGAAGAUGGGACGGGCAACCGUCCGGACGGUACCUCCAGAAGCAGCCACGGCUAACUUCGUGCCGGCAGCCGCGGUAAUACGAAGGUGGCAAGCGUUGUUCGGAUUUACUGGGCGUAAAGGGAGCGUAGGCGGUUUGGUAAGCCCUCCGGGAAAUCUCCCGGCCCAACCGGGAAAGGUCGGAGGGGACUGCUUGACUAGAGGGCGGGAGAGGAGCGCUGAAUUCCCGGUGUAGCGGUGAAAUGCGUAGAGAUCGGGAGGAAGGCCGGUGGCGAAGGCGGCGCUCUGGAACGAUCCUGACGCUGAGGCUCGAAAGCGUGGGGAGCAAACAGG